rnacentral:rRNA from 1 species
CCUACGGGAGGCAGCAGUGAGGAAUAUUGGUCAAUGGCCGGAAGGCUGAACCAGCCAUGCCGCGUGAAGGUCAGUGCCCUAUGGGCGUUAAACUUCUUUUGUGCGGGAGCAAUAAUGGUCAAGUGUGGCCAGACGAGAGUACCGUAAGAAUAAGCAUCGGGUAACUCCGUGACCGCAGGCGAGGUUAUACGGGGGAUGCAAGCGUUCUUCGGGUUUAAUGGGGUUAAAGGGUGCGUAGGCUGUGAGGUAAGUCAGCUGUGAAAUGCAACCGCUCAACGGGGUGAAUUGCCAUUGAUACUGCCUGCCUGGAAUGCGGAUGCCGUGGGAGGAAUGUGUGGUGUAGCGGUGAAAUGCAUAGAUAUCACACAGAACACCGAUUGCGAAGGCAUCUCACGAAUCCGCGAUUGACGCUGAUGCACGAAAGCGUGGGUAUCAAACAGGAUUAGAUACCCCAGUAGUC